AGCUCCUUCCGUAUAGAGUUGGUGUGAGGCUUAACUGGGUCAAUAAUGAACUGUGUGACCCCAGAGUAAGUGCUACACUACAAAAUCAAUGCAGCACGAGGAGUGAUGCCGAGGAGUCUACGCGCUGCUGUGGCGUCAGGGUGAACCGAGGUGCAGGAAUUCAAUUCAGGUGUGUACCACAGUCAACUGGGACAGCCUGUGUGCAUGCAUCUCUUCCCAGCUCUGUGUUCAGCGACGCCAUGUUGUUAGCUUGAAACUGGCUGUGGUGGGAAACCAAGGAAAUUUGCAAAUGCCACACAUCAAGGACUUCUGCAUUCCAAUGAAGAGAAUGAGUGAAAGAAUUCAGGAAAUGCAGUGUAAGUGGGUUGAAGCAGGAAAAUGGAACGUGUCACAUCAAGACAGACCCUGAAACUGGAAAAAGCAGCUGAGGAGUCCAUAUUCCUGCCGUGGAGAUAGUCAGCCUAAUCUCCGUGUAGAUUUGUUUGUACUUCCAGGAAAGAGUUGGGCACAAGUCAUCUUUUACUUAAUUAGUACUCCACUUCUGGAGCCCCGUCUGAGGUGGACUGGUCAAAAUUAGAUUGGGGAUUACUCCUGUCCUUCAAGUCCAGGCAGGUCUGGUUCAUCGCAUUCUGGCAUCUUUUUCUGGUAGGUUGAAACCCUCUAUUGUGAUAG